GAGGAGGAGAGGGGCUGCUGGGUGGAGGUCAGAGUGAGAGAUGGUUUAUGGAUCCACAGGCGCUCCUACAACACCAACAACACAUGAACAGUAAUAACUCCAAACAUCAAGUUUUAUGGUACUUGGGUUAAGGUGUUUCAUAA